rnacentral:rRNA from 1 species
GACAGAGGGGGCAAGCGUUGCUCGGAAUUACUGGGCGUAAAGGGAGCGUAGGUGGCAUUCUAAGUCUGAUGUGAAAGCUCUGAGCUUAACUCAGAAAUGGCAUUAGAUACUAGUUUGCUCGAGGAUUGGAGGGGAGAUUGGAAUACUUGGUGUAGCAGUGAAAUGCGUAGAUAUCAAGUGGAACACCAGUGGCGAAGGCGAAUCUCUGGACAAUUCCUGACACUGAUGCUCGAAAGCUAGGGGAGCAAACGGG